GAUUACCACGGGUUGCUGCGCAGACUACCGCAGCAGGUGGCAUGUAACAUAUCUACGUGACCCUGGCUGAUUGACUUUAAAUGUUAAGAGAACAAAGCCAUGAUGGAAUUUGGAAAUCUUCACAGUCGUGAUGUCUGUCCAGUGAAAACAUUAAGUUUUGAAGGAAAGCUUCACUUCACUGCGAGACUGCCGAUAGUGAUGUUGAGUUAAGUUAUAAGUUAAAUUAAAUGAUUAGGUAACGUCACC